rnacentral:ncRNA from 1 species
GUCUGCGUAUUUAGAAAUGAGUACGUAUCAAUAAAGGAAAUCGAAUUGCGGGAAAAUCCUAAAGCGAAUGAAGCGACCAUGUGGUUUUGAAAGAAAGACCAACAUAAACGCGGUGAAAACAGAAAAAAUUCAUACGAUGAUAUAUGGUUAAAGCCUAAGUAUUAUGAAAAAUGGAUAAUCUGCAGCCAAGCUUCGAAAAGAAGAAGGUUCAACGACUAUUCCUCGUAAGGGAAGUACACCACAAGCGAUGGGUGGUGGAAGUGGUUUCGCCGUACUGGGUUAUGCCAACGGAUAAGAGAUAGUCUGUGCUCGCAUGAAAAUGUGAG